rnacentral:misc_RNA from 1 species
GAUGAAGAACGCAGCGAAAUGCGAUACUUGGUGUGAAUUGCAGAAUCCCGUGAACCAUCGAGUCUUUGAACGCAAGUUGCGCCCGAAGCCAUUAGGCCGAGGGCACGCCUGCCUGGGCGUCACACGUCGUUGCCCCCCCAUCUACUCCUUCGGGAUUGCGGGGGGCGGAUGAUGGCCUCCCGUGCGCCUCGCCGCGCGGUUGGCAUAAAUGCCAAGUCCUCGGCGACGCACGCCACGACAAUCGGUGGUUGCGAAACCUCGGUUGCCCGUCGUGUGCGGUCGUCGCGCAUCGAGGGCUCGAAAAAAUUGCCGGGUUCCGGCUCGGCUUUCAACGCGACCCUAGGUCAGGCGGGGUUACCCGCUGAAUUUAAGCAUAUCAAUAAGCGGAGGA